rnacentral:rRNA from 1 species
UGCCAGACUCCUACGGGAGGCAGCAGUGAGGAAUAUUGGUCAAUGGGCGGGAGCCUGAACCAGCCAAGUCGCGUGAGGGAUGACGGCCCUAUGGGUUGUAAACCUCUUUUGCCGGGGAGCAAAGUGCCGCACGUGUGCGGUUUGGAGAGUACCCGGAGAAGAAGCAUCGGCUAACUCCGUGCCAGCAGCCGCGGUAAUACGGAGGAUGCGAGCGUUAUCCGGAUUUAUUGGGUUUAAAGGGUGCGUAGGCGGCGCUUCAGGUCAGCGGUGAAAUACCGGGGCUCAACCCCGGGGCUGCCGUUGAAACCGGAGCGCUAGAAUUCCGAUGCCGUCGGAGGAAUGUGUGGUGUAGCGGUGAAAUGCAUAGAUAUCACACAGAACACCGAUUGCGAAGGCAUCUGACGAAUCGGAGAUUGACGCUGAUGCACGAAAGCGUGGGUAUCGAACAGGAUUAGAUACCCGCGUAGUA